rnacentral:rRNA from 1 species
AUUGAACGCUGGCGGCAUGCUUUACACAUGCAAGUCGAACGGCAGCGCGGGCUUCGGCCUGGCGGCGAGUGGCGAACGGGGGAGUAAUACAUCGGAACGUGCCCAGGAGUGGGGGAUAGCUCGGCGAAAGCCGGAUUAAUACCGCAUACGACCUGAGGGUGAAAGCGGGGGAUCUUCGGACCUCGCGCUAUUGGAGCGGCCGAUGGCGGAUUAGCUAGUUGGUGGGGUAAAGGCCUACCAAGGCGACGAUCUGUAGCUGGUCUGAGAGGACGACCAGCCACACUGGGACUGAGACACGGCCCAGACUCCUACGGGAGGCAGCAGUGGGGAAUUUUGGACAAUGGGCGAAAGCCUGAUCCAGCAAUGCCGCGUGUGUGAUGAAGGCCUUCGGGUUGUAAAGCACUUUUGGCGGGAACGAAAAGGACUGUGCCAAUACCACGGUUCGAUGACGGUACCCGCAGAAUAAGCACCGGCUAACUACGUG